rnacentral:misc_RNA from 1 species
GUAAAACACCCACCUGGAUAACAGCGAGCGCAGAAAAUGGGAGAUACGGAUGUACAGAUCGUCGAUGUUAGACGUUCCCAUUCAGACUACAUCAAAGGCCAGGUUACCUACCAAACAAAACUGGGUAUAGGCGACCCUCUGGCCGUCGUAGAUAUUGACGAGGUGGUGGAGAGAUACAGAAAAUGGUUCAAGCUGUUUCCUAGGGUGGAGCUAUUCUAUGCUUUGAAGUGCAACAAUGAUAAAAAGAUCAUCGAUGUCCUUGUAAAACUAGGAAGCAGUUUUGACUGUGCGAGCAAGGUUGAGAUACAACAGGUAUUAGAGCUUGGAGUUGAUUCGUCUCGCAUCAUCUACGCCAAUCCCUGUAAACAAAACUCACAUCUUACUUACGCCAAGGAGCACAAUGUAGAUCUGAUGACGUUUGACAAUGAGGAGGAAUUGAUCAAGAUCAAGAUGUUGUAUGGAUCAGCAAGAUUACUUAUGCGGUUCCGACCAAAACAAACGUAUGAAGUGAUGUACGACCUGGGCAAGAAGUUUGGUUGUGUCUUUGAAGAGGCGGUGGAUUUGUUUAUAUCGGCAAAGAACAAAGGCUUGAAAGUUAUUGGUGUGAGUUUCCAUGUAGGAAGUAACUGUCUCAGUUCCGACGCAUUUGCCUCCGCAAUCAAAGAAGCCCGGAUGAUAUUUGACGUAGGACUACAGGUCGGAUUUGAUAUGAACAUGCUUGACAUUGGAGGUGGAUACCGGGGCAGAGAUGUUGAGCAUCCGACUAUAGAAGAGAAUGCAGACAUCAUAAACCAGUGUCUAGAUGAAUAUUUCCCUGAAGCAGAAAGAGUGACAAUAAUCGCUGAGCCAGGACGUUACCUUGUAGAAACUGCUGUCAGUGCUGCAGCCAAUAUCAUAGGCCGAAAGCUUAUCUAUGAUAAUGAUAAAACAAGUCUGGAACAUGUUAUGUACAGCAUCAACGAUGGAGUAUAUGGAACCUUUCCUUGGGUAAAAGAAGUCACGGAUGCGUUUGUUAUAUCACCUGUUCUGAGGAAGGGAGUCUGUUAACCUGUUGAUGAAUCAUGGUAGACCAACUAUGACAGCUGACAUCUUAUAAAAAAAAAGGUACACUUGACCAAUGGAUGGCAAUGGUGCAUGCGGGUUUUCUUGGACGACAUUUGCACCAUUUACAGGGCCCUUCACGUUUAUUUCAAAAGGACAACAUCGUGAACUAACAAUGUACACAAAAUGCUGGACAAACCACAAAUCUAAUGUACCCUAUUAUGACUAGGUUUUAAUAUUUGAGAAAAUUAUCUUCUUUCUUUUUUCGUUGAUUAAUAGAAUGAACAUAGUUGAUAUAAAGGUAAUACAUCACAUUCAUCAAUUCAUGAAUAUGUUUAUCAACAUGUAAGUUUCAUAAAUAUUCGGUUUCAGUUUGUUGUACACUCAUACGUGGUCUGAGUUGACGAAUGUAAAAUUCACCACAUUCAAAAUAAAUU